AGAGGCGCUGCGGGGCGGUGCCAGCCAGCGCGUUCCCACAGCUCCCUGGCGGCAGAGCCGGGCGGCGGAGGCUGCGCCCCCUCCCCUGCCCGCUUCCUGGUCCUCGGGGUCUGAGGGCCGCGGCCUGGGACUCCAGAGCUGGGGGCUGCGGGUGUUCUCGGUGGCCGCCGCAGCGUCCGCGGCGACGUCCCGGUCCUCGCGGCCUCGCAGCCAGUGCUUGCUCGGGCCGGCCGCCGAAUGCCCGUGGACGCGCAUCUCCUCCCCGAGUUCCUGCUUCCUGGGCCAGCCAAAGCCGCAGGUGAGAACGUCCGCGGUAGAGGUGGCAUCCAGGGCCUGCGGGUCUCAGAGGCCCCCUGGCCUCCUUCUGCUCUCCUCCUUGCUCAGGAAACCCCGCGGGAGCGCCUGCAGCGGGGAUGCUCAGUGCUCCCCGAGCCCCGAGAGCACUUCUUCUGAGGCACGUAGCCCCCCGCCCAGGCGCUUCUGCGAGCUCCUUUGUGGACCCCACAAGCCCCUAGGGGUUCCCCCGCCGAGCACCCCGCGAGCCCCACCACCCCUGGCGCGCAUGCCCAGAGGCCCCGGGAGCUAGAAAGUAGCUGAGCUGCUGGCGCAGUACCUGCUGGUUAAGAACGCGAAGACGGUGUGGAUCAAAAGGGCAGACAUGCUGAAGUGUGUCAUCCUAAAGGUGCAGGAGCUUCCUUCCCCGAGAUUGCCAAGAGAGCCUCUGAGAGAGUUAGUUGUUGGGUCUAGGUGAAGGAACUUGGCCCUCCAGAGCACUCCUAUGUCCUGCACAGGAAAAAAAAAAUCUAUCCUGCCCUGCCUCUGGGGCCUGACAGGCGACAGGGGCACUCCAAAGACUGGGCUUCAGAUGACUAUCCCGGACUUGAUCUUCGUGCAGGCCAGCGGUGUCCCAGAGGAGGUGUUCGGGGAGGUGUGGAGGGUGUGGAGGUAUGCUCGCCCAAAGCAUCCUAUCCUUGGGGUGCCGUCAGCAAAGCACAUCACCAGAGCUGGUGUGAGGCACAAGCACUUGGUGCACGAGAGAGUAGGUGUCCACCAGAGGUCCCUUGCUCUCGGUAUUCUUGUGGGGCUCUCAAAGGAAACAAGACAGAUGGAAGUCCUGGAGUUUGUGGCCCAAGUGAAUGACAUCCAUCCCAGAGCCUUGCUGUGGCAGUAAAUGAGGCAUUGCAAGAAGAGGAGGAAGUGCCCGGUGCUGAGCGGUGGCCCAGAAGCAGCUGCUGGUGAUGAUGUGACCAGUGCGAGUGUUAGUGCAAGUUCCACUUCCAGGGCCUGUGCCAUGGCUGAAGCAAGCGUCAGCGCCAGUGUCAAUGCAAAUGCCAGGGCCAGGGGCUAGAGCCAUGCAGGAAUGAUGAUGGUCAGUACUGGGGACAGUAUUGGUGCCAGUCACAAUCUCAGGCCAGAGUCAGGGCUUCUGCUGACACCAGAGAUAGCUGCUGCUAAGGCUUCCUUGCUUUGGUUGUGGUAGUCCAAGGGAUGCAGGAGCAGUGGGCCCUGAGGCCCUGCUGUAUGAAGAGUGCAGUGGCAGAGCAGGGGCAGGGAUAGCAUUGCACUUCUGUUCUGAGCUUGGUGGUGACUUGGGGCUCAAUCGGCACACUGCAAAGUCCUGCUUGCUUUGUGGCUACCUCCUUUCCAGUUGAUAAACAGUUAGGAGGGAUCGAGUGAUGAAGGCUGAGGAUGUGGUUGAGUGGUGGAAGACUUUUCUCGAUUGGGGAUGGCUAUGGGCUCCAUCCCAGGAACCAUAAAGUAAAACAGUUGAAAGGGGACUCGCCUUGAACUGUGUCAGAGCAGCAUGGAAGUAAAGGCAUCCUAAAAUCCUUUCCCGAUCCUUGCUUUUCUAAGGCAUGUGAUUAAGUAGGAGCAUCUACUUCCACAGUUGGCUUGCAGCAGUGUUUCCUUGUUCCUUAUUUAGGAGAGGUUUGUUCAUUUACACAAAACACUUGUGACACACUGCCAUUUUAGAUCUGAAAUAUACUACAGCAGAGUCAGUGGUUCUUUCUGAGAUGUUGACGGAAAUUUCCAGCACAGUGAUUCCUUGCUGCAGAUAUUAAGAGGAAAAGCACAAACGUGGCCAAAAUCUGACACACAGCAAAACCAGCUGACAUUUAUUUGUGUUAACCCAGAGCUCUGGAAUGUAGGGAAAAAUAAAAUUGAAUUAGACACCU